AGCUUUUUUUGACGUGUCUUUGAACACAGCCAAAGUCCGACUUCUACUGAACUCGCCAAGCAGACCAGGAAAACUAUUCUCUUUAUAGUAUUAAGGUUUAUUUGAUGUUACAGCACUUUUUCUGCUCUCUACAUGUGAAGGGUCGCCACAGCCAGUCCACACAACAACUUGGCAUAGAUUUUACGCCGGAUGCCCUUCCUGUCACAACCCUCCCAUUUUUAUCCGGGCUCGGGACCGGCACUACAUCCAGUGGCAGGGGUUUGGGCACUGGCUGGGAAUUAAACCCAGGCCUUCCGGAUGGCAGGCGAGAAACCUACCUCUGAGCCACCAGCACCCAAUUGUUCAGCAUUUAAUCUAUGAGUUCAGAAUGAGAUUACGGAUUACAAUGACGUCCAGAAUUGCUACGGGGAAAUACAAGGAUACGGAUGAGCUCUUUCCACUGCCCUACUUCUCCCAAUGGGCUCCGAAGCCAUUCUCAUAAAAGUUACAUAUUACCG